rnacentral:rRNA from 1 species
GACAGAGGGUGCAAACGUUGUUCGGAAUUACUGGGCGUAAAGCGCGUGUAGGCGGCUAAGUAAGUCGGGCGUGAAAUCCCACGGCUCAACCGUGGAAGUGCACUCGAAACUGCGUAGCUAGAGUCCUGGAGAGGAAGGUGGAGUGCUUGGUGUAGAGGUGAAAUUCGUAGAUAUCAAGCGGAACACCGGUGGCGAAGGCGGCCUUCUGGACAGUGACUGACGCUGAGACGCGAAAGCGUGGGGAGCAAACAGG